GUGUCAGCAGCCGCGGUAAUACGGAGGGUGCAAGCGUUAGUCGGAAUUACUGGGCGUAAAGGGUGCGUAGGCGGGGAUGUAAGUCAUGUGUGAAAUACUGAAGCUCAACUUCAGCUGUGCACAUGAAACUGCGUUUCUAGAGGAAGAGCGGAGAAAACGGAAUUCCACGUGUAGCGGUGAAAUGCGUAGAUAUGUGGAAGAACACCUGUGGCGAAAGCGGUUUUCUAGCUUAUUCCUGACGCUGAGGCACGAAAGCAAGGGGAGCAAACAGGAUUAGAUACCCUGGUAGUCCUUGCCAUAAACGAUGUAUACUUGGUGUAGUUAGGCUCAACCCUGACUGUACCGUAGCCAACGCGAUAAGUAUACCGCCUGGGGAGUACGCUCGCAAGGGUAAA
rnacentral:rRNA from 1 species